AACUUGUUGCAAUGUAUCACUUGGUUCUCGCAUCGAUUAAGAACGCAGCGAAAUGCGAUACGUAAUGUGAAUUGCAGAAUUCAGUGAAUCAUCGAAUCUUUGAACGCACAUUGCACUCCUUGGUAUUCCGAGGAGUAUGCCUGUUUCAGUAUCAUGAGCACUCUCACAACUAACCUUUGGGUGAAAUUGUGGAAUUGGAAUGCGCUGAUUUUAAUAACCAGCCCUUCUAAAAUAUAUUUCAUGACUGUCACCUAACACAGCAGUUUGGCCUAAUAGUUUUGACAUUAAUUUGUCAAAUCUUUGGCUUACAUUUGCUUCAGGUUGUCAGUUUUGAUAAUACAGAAAACUCAUUCAAAUUUUGAUCUGAAAUCAGGUAGGGCUACCCGCUGAACUUAAGCAUAUCAAUAAGCGGAGGCU
rnacentral:misc_RNA from 1 species